CUGUGGUUCCGGGCGGAAACGCAGCAGUGGACCGGGAUUUAAUAAAAACCUCCGCCUCGAUUAUGAUUUAAAAACUCGAGAACUUUGGCAUAACGGAUGAUUAGAUGAUUACCUCCAUCACGUCUCUGUCAUACGAGGAUUUCCAGGAGGAGAGAGUGUGUGAGAACAGUGACCGUGCUUCAGAUCUGCGCUUUCUCUCUCUCUCUCUCUCUCUAUCUCUCUCUCGAUGGUUUCUCCAACCAUGAAGGCACUGGUGGAUGCCGUGUGGGUGGUGUGGAGCCUCGGAGCCUCCAUCUACGACUACAUCCACACCACAGCCAUGGAGGAGCGCAUACACUCUCUGGAGAGCGCCAUCACGGUGCACGAGCAUGUUAUUGGUUUGCUGACCGCCGUGCUGCUGGCGCUGGUCACUUACAUACUGCUGAGGAAACACUAGAGUAAAAUAUGAUGCUUGGGAGAUGUUAAGAAUUCAUAUCACGUGAGAGCCUGUGAAGGUAUUCCGCUGAUCUGUUAUCAAGCUGUUACCGAUGACGCGUGACGGUUUGACAUGUUAUUGAGAAGUUUAAGGGAUAAAAGCUAGUGAUUGGUGAAGCUGUCCAAGUUUGGAUAUUUAUAAGUGCAUGUGUUUAUACAUCAUGCAUUUUUUAUGUUUGGUGUAAACACAACUUUUAAUGUGGAUGAUAUGAUCUUUUUUUGUUGUUGUUGAUCAUCGCCAUCUCCAGCUGCAGAAAGUGCUUCAGAAAGUUAUAAACUGUUUUACAAAACGCUUUGUUCAGGCGCUUUUCAUCCACUAACUUCCAUCCAAACAGCUCAGUGUGUGGGUUUUUCCUUUCUGCAUCCCGAGGUGUUAUGCAUUUUAGAUUGUUGAAAUUCUGAAAUUUGUAACUUGUGAUAUUCAUAACUUCUGAAAUUCAGAACUUAUGAAAUUUUGCCGUUUUGAAAUACUGAACUUCUGAAACGAUGGACUUCUGAAAUUAUUGACUUCUGUCAUUUGGAACUUUUGAAAUUCUGAACAUCUGAAAUUCUGAACUUGAAAUUUUCACCCAAUAUAAAUUAAAACAUUCCAUGGAGUUAUGAAAUAACUGAAGUUUGGGAGAAAGACCUUGCCUGAAGCUUUGUGUUCUUCCUAGUUAACGUCCUCUUUUAACCUCCAGUAUUGAAGAAUUUUCAGCAAGAUCUCAGAGUUCUCAGUUUUACAGUCACUCUUCAGGUCAUUUAGUUGAGGGCAAGGUCAGCGCUCUCUAACGCCGCAUCAAGCCGAUUUAACUACCUUCUGUGGAUCUUUUUACACUCAUUUACACCUAAUGAUGGAUGGAAGUUCAGUAGGAAUUAUCUAGCUCCUCAAAUCUUUGUAUCAACACUGCCUCUGUGUUAAGAACAGCUUUGGACUUUCAUUAACUUAUUCCGAUUUGCACAUUUUCUUAUAUUUAACUUGCAGCAUCUUGUUUAAUGACUUGGCGGACCAUUCAUACAGUUCUGACCUGAGAAGUGCAUUAUAAAGUGUCCUUAACAUUUAUUAAUGUUUAUUGAACUAUAGUUUAACAAAACAUUGUGUAAAGUUUGGAAUGUUUAUUUAAUUUAUUCUCAUUAACACAUUAGCUGUGUUCAUGGAGUCUGCUGGUGUGUUACUAGCACUGGAUGGACCUUUACAUGUUUGUAAUAAAAACAUUUCUAAUGUG